rnacentral:rRNA from 1 species
GAUGAACGCUGGCGGCGUGCUUAACACAUGCAAGUCGAACGAGAAGUGAAGACGGAAACCUUCGGGCGGAAGGCUUUAUUUCGAAUGGCGGACGGGUGAGUAACGCGUGGGUAACCUGCCUCAUACAGGGGGAUAACAGUUGGAAACGACUGUUAAUACCGCAUAAGACCACAGCACCGCAUGGUGCGGGGGUAAAAACUCCGGUGGUAUGAGAUGGACCCGCGUUCGAUUAGCCAGUUGGCGGGGUAACGGCCCACCAAAGCGACGAUCGAUAGCCGAUCUGAGAGGAUGACCGGCCACAUUGGGACUGAGACACGGCCCACACUCCUACGGGAGGCAGCCGUGGGGAAUAUUGCACCAUGGAGGAAACCCUGAUGCAGCGACGCCGCGUGAGUGAAGAAGUAUUUCGGUAUGUAAAGCUCUAUCAGCAGGGAAGAAAAUGACGGUACCUGAGUAAGAAGCCCCGGCUAACUACGUG